rnacentral:lncRNA from 1 species
CUGGACUUGAGCUCACUUUGUAGCCCAGGCUGGUCUCAAACUCACAACCAUCUUCCUGCCUCAGCCUCCCGAGUGCUGGGAUUACAGGCGUGCGCCACCACGUCCAGCUCAUAGCUGGUAACAUUUAAGGGCUCAAAAUUGAAGGUGAGGCACACCCCAAACCCAGGGGUCUUUUGAGGGUCAGAAUCACCACCUCUCUGGCAUCUCUGUGAGGGACGUGGAGAAAGCCCGCCAAGCUGCAGGCUGAGCUGGACACACCUCCCACAUCUUCCCGUCAGGAAGGGUGAAGGACGCUGGGGGCCCGGCUUGCGCCCGCUCCUUCUCUGGGAAGACCUCCUCCAGCCAAGCUGGCCGCCUCACCCAGCCCUCAGCAAGUCGUUCCCACACCUCCUCCCUCGGUCCCUAGCCGGCACCGACACCUACUGCACAGGGCCUAUAAAACAGCUGCAGAAGGUCAGCAGCCUGCAAAAGUUUUCUUGCAAAGUUUGGCUGAGACCCACACGCUCCGGCUCCAGCGGGCUCCCCCGCCCAGGCGCUGGAAGACCAGCCAGUCUCCUCCUGCAGUGGACAGUGGAGGGGCCCGCUCCCCACCCACCCGA